rnacentral:RNase_P_RNA from 1 species
GAAGCAAGCCAGACAGCCGCUGGCCGACGCAAGUCGGCGGGAGGAAGGUCCGGACUCCAUAGAGCAGGGUGACGGCUAACGACCGUCCGUCGAAAGCCAUAAGCGCAGUUUGACUUAGGUAUAAGACGAGGAAUAGGGCCACAGAGACGAGCGUAUUUAGUUACGGUGAAACGCGGUAACCUCCACUCGGAGCAAUCUCAAAUAGGCACGCAUUGAUGCGGCUCGCGGAGCGUGCGGGUAGAGAGCUUGAGCCGUGGAGUAAUUCACGGCCUAGAGGAAUGGCUGUCAUAGCGGAUAGGGCAACUUGUCCGCCGUAACAGAAUCCGGCCUAUCGGCUUGCUUCAUUU